CCCUGACCUGCCCUUGUCCCCCCACAGAAGCACACGGACGAGCUGCAGGCACAGGCCGAGGCCUCGCUGCUGGCACUGGUUUGUCACCUCUACCAGGGGGAGAAGCCUGAGGCCUGCGGGGGCUCCAAGGCCCCGAAGAUCCGGCCUGGCUGCAGGCGCUGAGGGAGCGCUGAGGGAGAGGCCAAUAAAAAGGAUUUUUUAUGGAAAAGCA